rnacentral:rRNA from 1 species
CCGGCACGGGUGAGUAACACGUAUGCAAUCCACCUGUAACAAGGGGAUAACCCGGAGAAAUCCGGACUAAUACCCCAUAAUAUGGGCGCUCCGCAUGGAGAGCCCAUUAAAGAGAGCAAUUUUGGUUACAGACGAGCAUGCGCUCCAUUAGCCAGUUGGCGGGGUAACGGCCCACCAAAGCGACGAUGGAUAGGGGUUCUGAGAGGAAGGUCCCCCACAUUGGAACUGAGACACGGUCCAA